GCCCGGCUGGCGCAAUUGGUAGCGCGUAAGACUUCUACGCCAAAAACUCGAGAAAAAGAGAAUUGGUGAAGUUUCAUCUUAAGGUCGUGGGUUCGAGCCCCACGUCGGGUG